rnacentral:rRNA from 1 species
AUGAAGAGCAGGAGGCAGAGCGGCCGCGGAGGAGCCAUGCUGCCGGACGGCGGCUGCAGCGGCAAGAUGGAGCGCAAGGACGUGGAGAAGAACCGCAGGCUGCACAUGAAGGGCCUCUGCCUCAAGCUCUCCUCCCUCCUCCCCGCCUCAUCCGCACACCACCUCCGCCACUAUUCUUCUACAUCUUCCUCGCCGCCGUCCAGCAACAAGGACGCGGCGACGCAGCUGGACCAGCUCGACAGCGCGGCGGCGUACAUCAAGCAGCUCCGGGGCCGGAUCGACGACCUCAAGCGCCGAAAGCAGGCCGCCCUCUCCGGCAACACCGUUGGCUGCUCAUCCUCCGUCUCCGCCGGCGACUACAAGUCACAGACGGCAGCGCUGCCUGUGAUCGAGGUGCGUCACCAGGACGGCACCCUGGACGUGGCUCUGGCGAGCGAGGCCGGGCGGCCGUUCCGGCUGCACGAGGUGAUCGCCGUGCUGGAGCAGGAGGGCGCCGACGUGGUCAGCGCCAGCUUCUCUGUAGUCGGCGACAAGAUCUUCUACACUGUCCAUUCCCAGGCGCUCUGCCCCCGCAUCGGCCUCGACGCCGGCAGGGUCGCCCACCGGCUCCGUGGCCUCGCCGCAGCCGCCACCGUCUCGUCCUCCGUCCUCAUGACAUGA